GUGCGGGAGAAGGCCCUUGGGUCGUAAACCGCUUUCUUAGGAAGAAGCUCUGACGGUACCUAAGGAAUCAGCUCGUACUCCGUGCCAGCAGCCGCGGGUAAUACGGAGGAGGCAAGCGUUAUCCAGGAAUUAUUGGGCGUAAAGCGUCCGCAGGCGGCUUACCAAGUCUGCUGUCAAAUACCAGAGCUCAACUCUGGGUCGGCGGUGGAAACUGGCAAGCUAGAGUACAGUAGGGGUAGAGGGAAUUCCCAGUGUAGCGGUGAAAUGCGUAGAGAUUGGGAAGAACACCGGUGGCGAAAGCGCUCUACUGGGCUGUAACUGACGCUGAGGGACGAAAGCUAGGGUAGCGAAAGGGAUUAGAUACACCUGUAGUCUUAGCUGUAAACGAUGGAGACUAGGCGUGGCUUGUAUCGACCCGAGCCGUGCCGAAGCCAACGCGUUAAGUCUCCCGCCUGGGGAGUACGCACGCAAGUGUGAACAUCAAAGGAAUUGACGGGGGCCCGCACAAGCGGUGGAGUAUGUGGUUUAAUUCGAUGCAACGCGAAGAACCUUACCAAGGCUUGACAUCCCGCGAAUCCUGGUGAAAGCCGGGAGUGCAUUCGGGAGCGCGGAGACAAGUGGUGCAUGGCUGUCGUCAGCUCGUGUCGUGAGAUGUUGGGUUAAGUCCCGCAACGAGCGCAACCCUUGUCCUUAGUGNCCAGCAUUCAGUUGGGCACUCUAGGGAGACUGCCGGUGACAAACCGGAGGAAGGUGGGGAUGACGUCAAGUCAUCAUGCC
rnacentral:rRNA from 1 species